rnacentral:rRNA from 1 species
GAUGAACGCUAGCUACAGGCUUAACACAUGCAAGUCGCGGGGCGGCAUGGGGGUUGCUUGCAAUCCCCGAUGGCGACCGGCGCACGGGUGAGUAACGCGUAUCCAACCUGCCCUUCACCACGGGAUAACCCGGCGAAAGUCGGACUAAUACCGUAUGUUGUCCAUUGACGGCAUCCGAUUUGGACGAAAGGCUUGGCGGUGAGGGAUGGGGAUGCGUCCGAUUAGCCAGACGGCGGGGUAACGGCCCACCGUGGCUACGAUCGGUAGGGGUUCUGAGAGGAAGGUCCCCCACACUGGAACUGAGACACGGUCCAGACUCCUACGGGAGGCAGCAGUGAGGAAUAUUGGUCAAUGGGCGUAAGCCUGAACCAGCCAAGUAGCGUGCAGGAUGACGGCCCUAUGGGUUGUAAACUGCUUUUAUGCGGGGAUAAAGUGGCCCACGUGUGGGCUUUUGCAGGUACCGCAUGAAUAAGGACCGGCUAAUUCCGUG